CGUAGGGUGCGAGCGUUAAUCGGAAUUACUGGGCGUAAAGCGUGCGCAGGCGGUUUUGUAAGACAGGCGUGAAAUCCCCGGGCUCAACCUGGGAACUGCGCUUGUGACUGCAAGGCUAGAGUACGGCAGAGGGGGGUGGAAUUCCACGUGUAGCAGUGAAAUGCGUAGAGAUGUGGAGGAACACCAAUGGCGAAGGCAGCCCCCUGGGUCGAUACUGACGCUCAUGCACGAAAGCGUGGGUAGCAAACAGGAUUAGAUACCCUGGUAGUCCACGCCCUAAACGAUGUCAACUAGGUGUUGGGAGGGUAAAACCUUUUAGUACCGGAGCUAACGCGUGAAGUUGACCGCCUGGGGAGUACGGCCGCAAGGUUA
rnacentral:rRNA from 1 species